UAAUUUAUUCCCUCCAUAUUGUAUGAAUAAAGUAAGGCACAUCUGACUGUCUUUGUUUUGUCAGUAUUGUUUUAUAUCACAAUUGUAUUACUUAAUUAUACUAAUUUGAGCCCUUUUUCACUUCCAGAAUGAUCUGCGGAGUCUUUCUUCUCAGCUGGAGAAGCAUAUUAAGUGUGACAUAAGGGAGAGCGAGAAAAUGCUGUAUAGGAGCAAGGUGAAGAGCAGCUUCAUUCUGUUCUCUGAGAAUCACUCAGAUCCAGAUUUUUAUUAGCAGUGUGUUUCUUUUCUUCUGUAGGUGAAAGACUUUGUAGCAAGGAUAUACACCAAGUGGCAGGUGCUUCUCACACGAACGAGGCCUCAGGAGGGAAAGCUGUAUGAUUACUGGAAGCCCCCACCAGAGGAUGAGGUGUCCAGCAGUCCUCAGGGCCAGUCCUGCAUCAAAUCACAAGACACUUCAGAGAGUGCAGAAGAAACUCUGACCACAGAGUGGAGCAGUACAGAAUCAGAUGUAGAUGCUGAGAGCAAAGAGGAAGAAGAGAACUUGCCGAAAGAGUGUGAGGAACCCCAACCUCUGGAGAAUGAAGUGAAGAUCGAACGAGAUGAAGAAGAUAGCGUGGAAGACAUCAGUAAUGAAGAGGAGGAAAAUGAUGAGCCAAAGCAACAGCUGAUAGAGCUAGAGGAUGAUAGAAAGUUUGAACCAAUAUCUGAUGAAGAGCUGUUUGAAACUCAUGAAGACUUGGAGUGUGAGAAACCUCAACUUCUGGAGAGAGAGGUGAAUAUCGAACGAGAUGAUGAAGAUUGUAUGGAGGACAUCAGUGAUGAAGAGGAGGAAAAUGAUGAGCCAAAGCAACAGCUGAUGGAGCUAGAGGACGAUAGAAAGUUUGAACCAAUAUCUGAUGAAGAGCUGUUUGAAACUCAUGAAGACUUGGAGUGUGAGGAUGAUGAUGAUCUCAUGAACAGAGAGGAGGAGCUUCUAAAAGAUGAAGAGCCUCAUGAAGAAAAUAGAAAGCACAUACCUGUAAAAGAAAACACUGAGGUGUUAGAGGAGCUUGAGGACUUGUUAAAGAGCUGAGAUGAAAAAGGAAACGAGGGAUGGAUUUUGAGAAGUCUGAGAAAAAAUAGAAACAUUCUCAGGUCAUUUCGAAAGAUUUUUACACCGCACCUUUAUUGCCAUCCAUGCAUAUACAUUAUGUGGGGUUUUGUGCAUUCAUUAAUGUUCAUAGAGUCUUUCAGUAACACACGUCAUUCCUGUAGUUGUUUACAAAUGGUUUAUAAUAUAUAUUCUGUGUAUGUGUUCUGCAUUUACCAGUUGUUCUUAAUUUGUUUUUAUUCUUCUUUUUUAAGAUAUAAGAUGUCUUAUUGAAUGUUUGGCCUCCAUUUCUCUGAAAAUGAGACCAUGAACAUAUUUUUAUGAAUAUACAUUUCAUUAGGGAUAACUUGUAAUAUCUAUGUGGUUAAUGUGCACACUGGUAGUUUUCAGGUUCAACUCUUUAUGCUGCUGUCAAAUCUAUUUUAUUUUUAUUUUUAUUUUUUUACUUACCCCAAAAAUCUGGAGCAUCUUCAUCCAGAAAAUAUCACUAUAACAGCAAAAGCAAGGGCUUAAAUAAUAGGCAACAUUUCUCUGUAGGUUCCAAGGAUGUUUAAGCGUCUUAGUAGGCUUGAGUACAGAGUGAAUAUAGUGUAUUUGUAUUAUUUUGGUGUUAGCAAUCCAGUCUUCUUCAAAAAAGGCUAACUUUAGAGUGAUGUUUGUCAUAAGAAUUAAUUAAAAACUGAUUUCUGUAUUUCUUAAAAAGUGAGAAAAUCCUUUGGUUAUUUUUAUGAAAAUAAAUACUCGGUCUGAUAAACAGGUAUGUGUGUUUCCACUCACACUCCAGACUAGCCUGGUCUUGCAAGUGUUUAUAUAUAGUUACAUCUUGCACUAUUCCAAAUGGUGCUGGUAAUUCAGCAAUAUGUAUGAUUUUGAAAACUAAGGCAUGCCACUUGCAUGCAUAUUCACUGAAGUGUAUUCCUAUUCUGAUCUCUAUUCUGAAAUCCGCAUAUUUAACAAUGAGCAAAUUGCAUGUUUUAACAGUGCAGUUCGUUUAUAAUAAUAAUUGUGUAAGUGGGCUUUUCCAGUCGAUAGCGAAGGAAUGCGGUGGCCCAAAUAUUUCCCAGGAGCCCAGAUGGUUUCCCC
ensembl:lncRNA